rnacentral:rRNA from 1 species
CGUCUGAUUAGCUAGUUGGUGUGGUAAGAGCGCACCAUAGGCGACGAUCAGUAGCUGGUCUGAGAGGAUGAUCGUAGCCACACUGGGACUGAGACUGACGGCCCAGACUCCUACGGGAGGCAGCAGUGGGGAAUUUUCCGCAAUGGGCGAAAGCCUGACGGAGCAAUACCGCGUGAGGGAGGAAGGCUCUUGGGUUGUAAACCUCUUUUCUCAAGGAAUAAGAAAGUGAAGGUACUUGAGGAAUAAGCAUCGGCUAACUCCGUGCCAGCAGCCGCGGUAAUACGGAGGAUGCAAGCGUUAUCCGGAAUGAUUGGGCGUAAAGGGUCCGCAGGUGGCACUGAAAGUCUGCUGUUAAAGAGUGAGGCUCAACCUCAUAAGAGCAGUGGAAACUACAGAGCUAGAGUGCGUUCGGGGUAGCAGGAAUUCCUGGUGUAGCGGUGAAAUGCGUAGAGAUCAGGAAGAACACCGGUGGCGAAAGCGUGCUACUAGGCCGUAACUGACACUGAGGGACGAAAGCUAGGGGAGCGAAUGGGAUUAGAUACCCCAGUAGUCCUAGCCGUAAACGAUGGAUACUAGGCGUGGCUUGUAUCGACCCGAGCCGUGCCGGAGCUAACGCGUUAAGUAUCCCGCCUGGGGGAGUACGCACGCAAGUGUGAAACUCAAAGGAAUUGACGGGGGCCCGCACAAGCGGUGGAGUAUGGUGGUUUAAUUCGAUGCAACGCGAAGAACCUUACCAAGACUUGACAUGUCGCGAAUCUUUCUGAAAGGGAGGAGUGCCUUAGGGAGCGCGAACACAGGUGGUGCAUGGCUGUCGUCAGCUCAUGUCUGAGAUGUUGGGUUAAGUCCCGCAACGAGCGCAACCCUCGUCUUUAGUUGCCAGCAUUAGAUGAACUCUGGGGACUGCUAGAGAGACUGCCGGUGACAAACCGGAGGAAGGUGGGGAUGACGUCAAGUCAGCAUGCCCCUUACGUCUUGGGCUACACACGUACUACAAUGCUACGGACAAAGGGCAGCAAGACAGCGAUGUCAAGCAAAUCUCAGAAACCGUAGCUCAGUUCAGAUCGAAGGCUGCAACUCGCCUUCGUGAAGGAGGAAUCGCUAGUAAUUGCAGGUCAGCAUACUGCAGUGAAUUCGUUCCCGGGCCUUGUACACACCGCCCGUC